UACGGAGGGGGCUAGCGUUGUUCGGAAUUACUGGGCGUAAAGCGCACGUAGGCGGCUUUGUAAGUUAGAGGUGAAAGCCCGGGGCUCAACUCCGGAAUUGCCUUUAAGACUGCAUCGCUAGAAUUGUGGAGAGGUGAGUGGAACUCCGAGUGUAGAGGUGAAAUUCGUAGAUAUUCGCAAGAACACCAGUGGCGAAGGCGGCUCACUGGCCCGAUACUGACGCUGAGGCACGAAAGCGUGGGGAGCAAACAGG
rnacentral:rRNA from 1 species